UACAGAGGUGCCAAGCGUUAGGCGGAAUCACUGGGCUUAAAGCGCGUGUAGGUGGGUCGUUAAGUGUCCGCGUGAAAUCCCACGGCUCAACCGUGGAACUGCUGGGUAUACUGGCGAUCUUGAGGUGCUCAGGGGCGGGCGGAACAGAUGGUGGAGCGGUGAAAUGCGUAGAUAUCAUCUGGAACGCCUGCGGUGAAAACGGCUCGCUGGGAGCAAUCUGACGCUGAGACACGAAAGCCAGGGGAGCGAACGGG
rnacentral:rRNA from 1 species